CCUACGGGAGGCAGCAGUGAGGAAUAUUGGUCAAUGGGCGCGAGCCUGAACCAGCCAAGUAGCGUGAAGGAUGACUGCCCUACGGGUUGUAAACUUCUUUUAUAGGGGAAUAAAGUGAGGCACGUGUGCCUUUUGGUAUGUACUCUAUGAAUAAGGAUCGGCUAACUCCGUGCCAGCAGCCGCGGUAAUACGGAGCAUCCGAGCGUUAUCCGGAUUUAUUGGGUUUAAAGGGAGCGUAGAUGGGUUGUUAAGUCAGUUGUGAAAGUUUGCGGCUCAACCGUAAAAUUGCAGUUGAAACUGGCAGUCUUGAGUGCAGUAGAGGUAGGCGGAAUUCGUGGUGUAGCGGUGAAAUGCUUAGAUAUCACGAAGAACUCCGAUUGCGAAGGCAGCUUACUAGACUGCAACUGACACUGAGGCUCGAAAGUGUGGGUAUCAAACAGGAUUAGAUACCCGAGUAGUC
rnacentral:rRNA from 1 species